CAGCAGUAGCCGCGGGAAUACGUAGGGUGCAAGCGUUAAUCGGAAUUACUGGGCGUAAAGCGUGCGCAGGCGGUCCGCUAAGACAGAUGUGAAAUCCCCGGGCUUAACCUGGGAACUGCAUUUGUGACUGGCGGGCUAGAGUAUGGCAGAGGGGGGUAGAAUUCCACGUGUAGCAGUGAAAUGCGUAGAGAUGUGGAGGAACACCGAUGGCGAAGGCAGCCCCCUGUGCCAAUACUGACGCUCAUGCACGAAAGCGUGGGGAGCAAACAGGAUUAGAUACCCCGGUAGUCCCUGUCUCUUAUAC
rnacentral:rRNA from 1 species